GCGGAGCUCGGAACGCACCGCACGCGGAACCUCGGGGGAGCUCGGCUCGGGAUGCGGAUGCUGUCGGCGUAGAUGCAGCGGAGCCUGUGGGCGAUGAGCCGAGAGGGGAGGCAUCGGCGAUGCAGUGACCGGGCGACGUAGCGAUGGAGGCGGAACCCCCGUCAAAACGGAGCGGAACCGAAAGCAUAGAUGAAUGGAAACCCAAGAAAUGCGUGAACGGAAGAAACUGAUACAACUGCAGAGAAACGCGUCAGUUGAACACUCCCUCCGUUCACAUCGGCCCCCACUCGCCGUCCUUUGUCUCGCUGCUA
rnacentral:lncRNA from 1 species